UAGCCUUCUAGGUAAGUCUUUGCUACGAAUAAUUUAUGCAAUGACCUUACUCUGUUGUCCUUAGAGUGAAUAAUCCUGAAUUUAUGCAAGGAUCAUUAUUGCUAUGUAAUGCAGAAGAUGUGCUCUUGAAAAAUAACCAGAUGGGAAGAGCUGUGAGUCUUAGACUCCAGAUACUCCAGGAAUCUCAUGCACGCUCAGAUGAUUCUUAGCUAUGAAGCUGUAAGCUCUAUUCUCAUCACAACAAAUAGGAGUUUAACAUUUUAUUUUUCAUAAACAUCUGUCCUUGUUCUACUUGAUCUCAUUAAUGCUCAUGCAAAAUGAAUGUAAAUGGAACUUGAGCAUGCCCAGCACACAUUCUUUCACAAAUCUGAGCAUGAAUUAGUUUAAAAUGCUUUGCUGAGUAUGUUCAACUCUGCCAGUUGCAAAGUGUAUGCAAGCAAAAACCAUCCAAAGACGAAUAGCUAAACAAAGGUACUGAGAAUUGCUAUAGUUACUAGCAAACUGAAGCAGAAGUUGUUUUAGAUGAAAUUCGGUAACACUCCUUUUUCAUCUUUUUAAAGCAUUUUAAAACAACACAAGAUUGAAAUAGCUGGGUUUUCUUUCUAAAUAGUCACCUCCACAAAUAACUGAUAGUUAAAAGUAAAUCAUACAGGGAAGAAAACUGGCUAGUGAAUUGCCUAAUUAUGGACUUUAAGUUGCAAUCCUCAGGCUAGUAAGACUUCUGAUUUUCUGCUUUAGCAGGGAUCGCCAAUGGAAGAGAUGAUUGAUGAAGAGAAGCAGUUGGGAAAACUGUAAAGGCUGGAUUUGUGGAGCUAAUCUGAACUGUCAUUACUCUUAUAGGGCACUGAAAAACAUGGGCAAUAGGGACACACCUUUGCAACAUCAUCUUGCCGUGCAGAGAUGCCUUGUUAUACCACAGCGAAGCUAAAUCUCAGCAGCAUUUCAGUGAGGUCUUGCUAAACUCUAGUGAAGCAAAGCUCAGUGGACAGAACUGCACAUCCAUCCCAGGAAGGGACCAUUCACUCUUCUAGAGAGAAGCAUUAUGCUUCUCCACCUCUGCCACAGAUCCCUUGCCUGAUUCCCUGCCUCACAUUCACGAAUUCAUCACAGUACAUAGACAAGCAAGAGAAAUGAACAGCACCAGUGCAACAAUGAGGCCCAGCCUUGCUGCUCAGCUGAAUCCCAGAGGAAACCCAACCUGUCAAAAACUAUAUGGAUUUUCUUUACUGUUUCAUUCCUGUGCUCUACGGUUCAAAGCAGUGAUCACCCUCCUGUCCCCCUUCCUGCUCAGGGCAAGAGGUAUCUGUGUCCCUGGAUAAUGAUCUCACAAAUGUGAAACAAAUGUUCAUCACAUGAAUGGGCUUUGGUUUCCUUUAUUUAACAGGGACUACAGGUACUUUUGUUUUUAAAUAUGUUCAUCCCGUUAGCAAUUUUCAAGAUGAGGAAAAGAAAUUUCCAAAGGAAAUAGAGUUCAUUUGGUAUUUGCAUAACUGUAUUACAUACAACCUCAUUUGAUGGUAUUUUGUGAAGGGGUCUGAAGAAAAAGGAGAGGACAUUUUGUAAUAAUAAAACCUAUGUAGAGGUAUGUUUUCUACUCUCAUUUGAGUUAAUGGG